rnacentral:rRNA from 1 species
GACGAACGCUGGCGGCGUGCCUAAUACAUGCAAGUUGAGCGCUGAAGGUUGGUACUUGUACCAACUGGAUGAGCAGCGAACGGGUGAGUAACGCGUGGGGAAUCUGCCUUUGAGCGGGGGACAACAUUGGGAAACGAAUGCUAAUACCGCAUAAAAACUUUAAACACAAGUUUUAAGUUUGAAAGAUGCAAUUGCAUCACUCAAAGAUGAACCCGCGUUGGAUUAGCUAGUUGGUGAGGUAAAGGCCCACGAAGGCGAUGAUACAUAGCCGACCUGAGAGGGUGAUCGGCCACAUUGGGACUGGGACACGGCCCAAACUCCUACGGGAGGCAGCAGUAGGGAAUCUUCGGCAAUGGACGGAAGUCUGACCGAGCAACGCCGCGUGAGUGAAGAAGGUUUUCGGAUCGUAAAACUCUGUUGGUAGAGAAGAACGUUGGUGAGAGUGGAAAGCUCAUCAAGUGACGGUAACUACCCAGAAAGGGACGGCUAACUACGUG